rnacentral:rRNA from 1 species
AGAGUUUGAUCCUGGCUCAGGAUGAACGCUGGCGGCGUGCCUAAUACAUGCAAGUCGAACGGGGAGUACUUACUUCGGUUUUUACUCCUAGUGGCGAACGGGUGAGUAACGCGUUGGUGACCUGCCCCGAAGAGGGGGAUAACUCCGCGAAAGCGGAGCUAAUACCCCAUGUGGUCAUACUGGUUAGAGGCGGUUUGACUAAAGGAGUAAUCCACUUCGGGAGGGGCCUGCGUCCCAUCAGCUAGUUGGUAAGGUAACGGCCUACCAAGGCGAAGACGGGUAGGGGACCUGAGAGGGUGGCCCCCCACACUGGCACUGAAACACGGGCCAGACACCUACGGGUGGCAGCAGUAGGGAAUAUUGCACAAUGGGCGAAAGCCUGAUGCAGCAACGCCGCGUGCGCGAAGAAGGCCUUCGGGUUGUAAAGCGCUUUUCUGGAGGAAGAGGAAGGACGGUACUCCAGGAAUAAGGAUCGGCUAACUACGUGCCAGCAGCCGCGGUAACACGUAGGAUCCGAGCGUUAUCCGAAUUUACUGGGCGUAAAGCGCGUGUAGGCGGUCAGGUAAGUUGGACGUGAAAUCUCCUGGCUC